AUCCUGGCUCAGAUUGAACGCUGGCGGCAUGCCUUACACAUGCAAGUCGAACGGCAGCACGGACUUCGGUCUGGUGGCGAGUGGCGAACGGGUGAGUAAUGUAUCGGAACGUACCUUCAGUGGGGAUAACGUAGCGAAAGUUACGCUAAUACCGCAUAUUCUGUGAGCAGGAAAGCAGGGGAUCGCAAGACCUUGCGCUGAUUGAGCGGCCGAUAUCAGAUUAGCUAGUUGGUGAGGUAAAGGCUCACCAAGGCGACGAUCUGUAGCGGGUCUGAGAGGAUGAUCCGCCACACUGGAACUGAGACACGGUCCAGACUCCUACGGGAGGCAGCAGUGGGGAAUUUUGGACAAUGGGGGCAACCCUGAUCCAGCCAUGCCGCGUGAGUGAAGAAGGCCUUCGGGUUGUAAAGCUCUUUCGGCCGGGAAGAAAUCGCAUGGGCUAAUACCCUGUGCGGAUGACGGUACCGGCAUAAGAAGCACCGGCUAACUACGUG
rnacentral:rRNA from 1 species